GGAGAGGUGGCUGAGUGGCUGAAAGCGCCAGAUUGCUAAUCUGUUGUAUGUGUUUAUCAUACCGAGGGUUCGAAUCCCUUCCUCUCCU
rnacentral:tRNA from 1 species